CACACACACACACACACACACACACACACACACACACACACAGAGAGAGAGAGAGAGAGAGAGAGAGAGAGAGAGAGAGAGAGAGGGGGGGCUAUAUUAAGUAUCCAUCACUUUCUACCUGCAUCUUCAUGUGUGCCCACAUUGAAUUGCAUGUAUGAAUAGUAGCUUACAGAGAAAUAACAUUUGUAUGUAUUCUAAUGUACUAAACAUUAGUUUCAAUCUGUGAAUAUGAUUCUCAAUUGCAUGUUACUCAUGUUCUAGAUAAAUAUCUUUUCUUGCUUUAUGACAAGAAAAACAAAUGGCACUGAAUUGUGGUACAAAAUAGAGGAAUUUGUAAGUCAGAUUGUUAUUUAAAUAAAUUACUCUUAAUAUUUUUAA